rnacentral:rRNA from 1 species
AACGAACGCUGGCGGCAUGCCUAACACAUGCAAGUCGAACGAAGCCUUCGGGCUUAGUGGCGCACGGGUGCGUAACGCGUGGGAAUCUGCCCUUGGGUUCGGAAUAACAGUUAGAAAUGACUGCUAAUACCGGAUGAUGUCUUCGGGCCAAAGAUUUAUCGCCCAAGGAUGAGCCCGCGUAGGAUUAGGUAGUUGGUGGGGUAAUGGCCCACCAAGCCGACGAUCCUUAGCUGGUCCGAGAGGAUGAUCAGCCACACUGGGACUGAGACACGGCCCAAACUCCUACGGGAGGCAGCAGUGGGGAAUAUUGGACAAUGGGCGAAAGCCUGAUCCAGCAAUGCCGCGUGAGUGAUGAAGGCCUUAGGGUUGUAAAGCUCUUUUACCAGGGAUGAUAAUGACAGUACCUGGAGAAUAAGCUCCGGCUAACUCCGUGCCAGCCGCCGCCGUAAGAC